CGCAUAACGUCGCAAGACCAAAGAGGGGGACCUUCGGGCCUCUUGCCAUCGGAUGUGCCCAGAUGGGAUUAGCUAGUAGGUGGGGUAACGGCUCACCUAGGCGACGAUCCCUAGCUGGUCUGAGAGGAUGACCAGCCACACUGGAACUGAGACACGGUCCAGACUCCUACGGGAGGCAGCAGUGGGGAAUAUUGCACAAUGGGCGCAAGCCUGAUGCAGCCAUGCCGCGUGUAUGAAGAAGGCCUUCGGGUUGUAAAGUACUUUCAGCGGGGAGGAAGGGAGUAAAGUUAAUACCUUUGCUCAUUGACGUUACCCGCAGAAGAAGCACCGGCUAACUCCGUGCCAGCAGCCGCGGUAAUACGGAGGGUGCAAGCGUUAAUCGGAAUUACUGGGCGUAAAGCGCACGCAG
rnacentral:rRNA from 1 species